rnacentral:rRNA from 1 species
GAUGAACGCUGGCGGCGUGCUUAACACAUGCAAGUCGAACGAAGCUGCCUGGAGGAGGUUUUCGGAUGGAAUUUAGGUAGACUUAGUGGCGGACGGGUGAGUAACGCGUGGAUAACCUGCCUUAUACAGGGGGAUAACGGAGAGAAACUUCCGCUAAGACCGCAUAAGACCACAGCACCGCAUGGUGCAGGGGUAAAAUAUUAAUAGGUAUAAGAUGGAUCCGCGUCCGAUUAGCUUGUUGGUGAGGUAGAGGCUCACCAAGGCGACGAUCGGUAGCCGGCCUGAGAGGGUGAACGGCCACAUUGGGACUGAGACACGGCCCAAACUCCUACGGGAGGCAGCAGUGGGGAAUAUUGGACAAUGGGGGAAACCCUGAUCCGGCGACGCCGCGUGAGUGAAGAAGUAUUUCGGUAUGUAAAGCUCUAUCAGCAGGGAAGAAAAUGACGGACCUGAAUAA